UACGGGGGGGGUAAGCGUUGUUCGGAAUUAUUGGGCGUAAAGGGCUCGUAGGCGGCCAACUAAGUCAGACGUGAAAUCCCUCGGCUUAACCGGGGAACUGCGUCUGAUACUGGAUGGCUUGAGUUUGGGAGAGGGAUGCGGAAUUCCAGGUGUAGCGGUGAAAUGCGUAGAUAUCUGGAGGAACACCGGUGGCGAAGGCGGCAUCCUGGACCAACACUGACGCUGAGUGAGCGAAAGCCAGGGGAGCAAACGGG
rnacentral:rRNA from 1 species